rfam:Micromonospora yangpuensis strain DSM 45577 genome assembly, contig: Ga0070617_12
GAAGCGUGAACCCGGCACGGCAUCCGUCGGUCAGACCGGGACCGUCCUACCGCAAGGCAGGACUACC